rnacentral:rRNA from 1 species
GACGAACGCUGGCGGCGUGCUUAACACAUGCAAGUCGAACGGUAAGGCCCUUCGGGGUACACGAGUGGCGAACGGGUGAGUAACACGUGGGUGAUCUGCCCUGCACUUCGGGAUAAGCCGGGGAAACUGGGUCUAAUACCGGAUAGGACCACUGCCUGCAUGGGUGGUGGUGGAAAGCUUUUGCGGUGUGGGAUGGGCCCGCGGCCUAUCAGCUUGUUGGUGGGGUGAUGGCCUACCAAGGAGACGACGGGUAGCCGGCCUGAGAGGGUGACCGGCCACACUGGGACUGAGAUACGGCCCAGACUCCUACGGGAGGCAGCAGUGGGGAAUAUUGCACAAUGGGCGCAAGCCUGAUGCAGCGACGCCGCGUGAGGGGUGACGGCCUUCGGGUUGUAAACCUCUUUCAGCACCGACGAAGCGCAAGUGACGGUAGGUGCAGAAGAAGGACCGGCCAACUACGUGCCAGCCGCCGCCGUAA